CCUACGGGAGGCUGCAGUGGGGAAUAUUGGACAAUGGGCGAAAGCCUGAUCCAGCCAUGCCGCGUGUGUGAAGAAGGCCUUCGGGUUGUAAAGCACUUUCAGUGGGGAAGAAAGCCUUGGGGCUAAUACCCUCGAGGAAGGACAUCACCCACAGAAGAAGCACCGGCUAACUCCGUGCCAGCAGCCGCGGUAAUACGGAGGGUGCUAGCGUUAAUCGGAAUUACUGGGCGUAAAGCGCGCGUAGGCGGUCUGAUAAGCCGGUUGUGAAAGCCCCGGGCUCAACCUGGGAACGGCAUCCGGAACUGUCAGGCUAGAGUGCAGGAGAGGAAGGUAGAAUUCCCGGUGUAGCGGUGAAAUGCGUAGAGAUCGGGAGGAAUACCAGUGGCGAAGGCGGCCUUCUGGACUGACACUGACGCUGAGGUGCGAAAGCGUGGGUAGCAAACAGGAUUAGAUACCCCAGUAGUC
rnacentral:rRNA from 1 species